CAAAAAAAAAAAAAAAAAGCCACCACCACCAAAAAAAAAUCUAUUGGAUUAGGGACAGAAAAACCAAAACAUGUACCAACAAUAAGAUUGUAAAUGACUUAAUACAGAUUCUUGUCCAGAGAAGUUGUGAGGGAAACAAGGAAAGUAGAAUCUUUUGAUUGUAAGGGCAAAAUAAUAAAAGAGCAUCCACAAGGUCAUUAAUUUAAUUGGCAGCAGAGUAAAAGGAUUCUCCUGAAACAAUUACUUAGAAAUGAAAUGCUUCAUCAUGCAAACUAGCUGCAACAUCUGCAAUUACUGUGACAUACUUUUUGAUAGGUGACCUAACACAAAUUGGCAGUUAAUAUCUGCAAAUAUACUCUCAGCUCCUAGCUUACACAAACAGGAAAGACAAAUAAAAUCUUCAAAAUGCAAGCCAGGGGCAAAAGCAUGUAAUCAGAACCCAUGCACUGAUACCAGCUUAUUGUGCAUAUUUCUGAGUUACAAGCAUGUUAUAAAACCCAAAAAUAAAAAAAUCCUAUCAUAUGUUCCCAACAAAUGCUAAAGAUCAAAUUAACUAUAAAGCACCUGCUCCCCGGCGUAAAUUAGAGUGGUGCCAAUC
rnacentral:misc_RNA from 1 species